rnacentral:rRNA from 1 species
UAGUGGCGACGGGUGAGUAACACGUGGGCAAUCUGCCCUUCACUCUGGGACAAGCCCUGGAAACGGGGUCUAAUACCGGAUAACACUCUGUCCCGCAUGGGACGGGGUUAAAAGCUCCGGCGGUGAAGGAUGAGCCCGCGGCCUAUCAGCUUGUUGGUGGGGUAAUGGCCUACCAAGGCGACGACGGGUAGCCGGCCUGAGAGGGCGACCGGCCACACUGGGACUGAGACACGGCCCAGACUCCUACGGGAGGCAGCAGUGGGGAAUAUUGCACAAUGGGCGAAAGCCUGAUGCAGCGACGCCGCGUGAGGGAUGACGGCCUUCGGGUUGUAAACCUCUUUCAGCAGGGAAGAAGCGAAAGUGACGGUACCUGCAGAAGAAGCGCCGGCUAACUACGUGCCAGCAGCCGCGGUAAUACGUAGGGCGCAAGCGUUGUCCGGAAUUAUUGGGCGUAAAGAGCUCGUAGGCGGCUUGUCACGUCGGAUGUGAAAGCCCGGGGCUUAACCCCGGGUCUGCAUUCGAUACGGGCUAGCUAGAGUGUGGUAGGGGAGAUCGGAAUUCCUGGUGUAGCGGUGAAAUGCGCAGAUAUCAGGAGGAACACCGGUGGCGAAGGCGGAUCUCUGGGCCAUUACUGACGCUGAGGAGCGAAAGCGUGGGGAGCGAACAGGAUUAGAUACCCUGGUAGUCCACGCCGUAAACGUUGGGAACUAGGUGUUGGCGACAUUCCACGUCGUCGGUGCCGCAGCUAACGCAUUAAGUUCCCCGCCUGGGGAGUACGGCCGCAAGGCUAAAACUCAAAGGAAUUGACGGGGGCC